GUCCAGCAACAUUUUCCUCUCCGGGCGGAUUACGACGUCACAAGCGGAUUCACACCGAGGAAAAAUUGAUCUGCCAAAUUUGCGGAGCAUCAUUAACCAACCAGCGAUAUCUGGACGAUCACAUCUUCAACUGGCACACAAAACAGCGAAACUUUCCUUGCCCGAAAUGUCCUAAAAUAUUUAAACUGGACAAAUAUUUGGAAAAGCACGUGAAAAAGAAGCACCCCCCGGGAUCUAAGGAAACCAGUCGUGACUACGCAUGCCCCCAGUGCGACAAAGGCUUCCCAUCCAGUCUUUCGUUACAACGCCAUACUCAAAUAGUUCACGCUGACCCUGUAAUUUGCCACAAGGCCGGGCGUGGGAAGGAAUUUGCAAGAAAGACGGAGCUCCAUCUACAUUUGAAGAAAAAUCAUCGUUGUGAAACGAAAAAGAAAUAACGCAAUUGGUAAAAAGGCUUUGGUAGCAACGCAAUUUUGACAAUGUAAAAUUUCCAUCGAUUUCACGGCCUUAAAAAUGUUUAUGUGUGUACACUCUAAGAAACCCGGUAACUAAGUUAUUACCAGGUGCAGUAUCUUUGUGACUCUACCGCACGGCAAUUUAUUUAUUAUAGAGUGGUCGAAAAUUAGUUACAAACUGGUAAUAUUUUCAAAUUUCGCGAUCGGGGUUAUUACCGGUUUGGUAACGAAAUGACCACCACUCAAUAAUUAGUUAAUUACCAUGCGGUCGAGUUACAUACAUUGAUAGUCCACCUGGUAAGAACUUAGGAUUGGUUACCAGGUUUCUAGAUUGUAUGUGUUUGAAGAAAUAGUGAAAGAUAAAAAUUUGAGUGUAAUGAAUAUUCACUCGGAAUAAAAAUAACUAAAAUUUGCCUAAUGUUGAGUAAAAAGGAGGAUGACAACAAUUUGGUAAAUUUUCUACAACCAUUGGCCAAUUUCACACAAGAUUGGGCAAAUUUUUCACAACGGUUGGAUAAAUUGUGUCCAAUUGUUGUGUCAUCCUCCUUUUUACUCAACCUUGAGCAAAUUUUAGUUAUUUUUCUUCAGAAUGUUUACUUGAUGUUAACUUACGUAUGCUUGUCUGUACAGGGAUAGGAAAUCCCAGGAUUAUUUUAAUCCGAUUACUUUGAAUGUAAUCCGUAAUCCAGUAAUCUACGAAAAAUAUCCUGUUCUAUUAUUUUAGUAUCGUUAUGACUAAUCGUAAGAUACAUAAAUAAAUUUCAUAAUUCCAUA